ACAUGAGUAACUGGGCUAAAUUCCUGUGAACAUACUAGGACAAAUUACACAGUGAUUCCGGGCAUAAAUACAUUGAAAAAUCUUGCAUAUCUGGGAAUAUACACUGGAAUUAGGGGGGAAAUUACACAAUACUGCUAGCACAAAUUACACUGUAAUCGAACAAUAAAUAACACAGUAUUUGGGAGAAUGACACAGUAAUUACAGAUAUGGGAGAAUUACACUGUAAAGCAUGUUAAUUACACUGUAAAAAUGGCAGAAUUACACUGCAAAAGGUGGGACAGUGAGGUUCUGCAAACCUAUUACACAGUAGUUACACUGUAAUUCUGGGGGUAUGAUCCACUGUACUUUUGAGCUACAUUACAUGUCUCGGGGGUAAAAUUACACAGUAAUAGAAGCAUCAAAUUCAGAGAGCUUCCUGGAACACAUUCAGACAUGCCUCAUCUACCAGGGGAAAAUCAUAAGCAGCCACCUGCAACUACAAAAAAGCAGGCCAGAUCAUCCCCAACUGUCACCUAACGGCAAGGGAACAGACACCCCAAGCUAGCAGAAAGCAGGAAAUCACCCGCUGCAAC
rnacentral:rRNA from 1 species